UGGCCCUAUCGAGGACACACUUCCUUCCC
rnacentral:piRNA from 1 species